CCUACGGGGUGCAGCAGUGGGGGAUCUUGCACAAUGGGCGGAACCCUGAUGCAGCGACGCCGCGUGGGUGAAGGAGCGUUUCGGCGCGUAAAGCCCUAUCGGCAGGGAAGAAGAUGACGGUACGUGACCAAGAAGCCCCGGGUAAAUGCGUGCCAGCAGCCGCGGUCAUACGUAGGGGGCCAGCGUUAUCCGGAUUUACUGGGUGGAAAGGGGGCGCAGUCGGCAGUGCAAGCUAGGAGUGAAAGCCCGGGGCCCAACCCGGGUAGUGCUCUGUGAACUGGAUGGCUGGAGUACAGGAGGGGGAGGGGGGAUUCCUAGGGGAGCGGUGAAAGGCGUAGAUAGUAGGAGGAACACCGGUGGCGAAGGCGGCCUGCUGGACUGUGACUGACGUUGAGGCCCGAAGGCGUGGGGAGCAAACAGGAUUAGAUACCCGAGUAGUC
rnacentral:rRNA from 1 species